CCUACGGGAGGCAGCAGUAGGGAAUUUUCCACAAUGGGCGAAAGCCUGAUGGAGCAAUACCGCGUGCAGGAUGAAGGCCUUCGGGUCGUAAACUGCUUUUAUGUGCGAAGAAUUUGACGGUAACACAUGAAUAAGGAUCGGCUAACUACGUGCCAGCAGCCGCGGUCAUACGUAGGAUCCAAGCGUUAUCCGGAAUUACUGGGCGUAAAGAGUUGCGUAGGUGGCAUUAUAAGUGGAGCGUGAAAGCGUGCGGCUCAACCGCAUUAUUGCGUUCCAAACUGUGAAGCUUGAGUAUGGGAGAGGUAGAUGGAAUUUCUAGUGUAGGAGUGAAAUCCGUAGAUAUUAGAAGGAACACCGAUGGCGUAGGCAGUCUACUGGCCCAUUACUGACACUAAGGCACGAAAGCGUGGGGAGCAAACGGGAUUAGAUACCCCGGUAGUCCACGCUGUAAACUAUGGAUGCUAGCUGUGACACACAUCGACCUGUGUCGUAGCGAAGUUAACGCGUUAAGCAUCCCGCCUGGGGAGUACGGUCGCAAGAUUAAAACUUAAAGGAAUUGACGG
rnacentral:rRNA from 1 species